GAAGAAGAGGGUUUCGGGUAAGGGAGAAAGAAAGGAAAGAAAGAAAAGAAAAAAUUCUAGUCCUUCAAUCUUGAACAACAAAAAUUGAAAUUGUUGUGUAAUACUACUAAGUGCAAGAUUCUCUACAAGGUGGUAUAAUUACUUUGGCAAGAAAAUAGCUUGGGUGACAAGUGAAGGAGUUGAGAAAAGGUUUUUGACGAAACGGGAUUUGAGCCUUGGCGAUCGUAAAAGGCAAGAAAGGUCCAGGGACGCGACCCGGCGAUCCAGCUAUUUAGGGGGAGACAGCUUUGGGAAGUCAGACAGCUCCACUAGUUCCGGAGGCUGUUCUUAUUUCGGUAUAAUUUUGUAUAUAUGUCUUGUAAGUCAUACUCUUUAGGAGUCUGCGAACAGCGUGGGUGUCAUGAGUACUGUUUGGUUUUGUCGGUCGUCAUUUUGUCGUACAGAAUUGGU